UCGUUCUACUCCCAACAUUCUGCACAGUCACUCUGCUGCUUCUAGGUUUUUCUUUUUCUUUUCUCCCUUCAAAACUCUCUUUGCCUACAAUUAUUUGUGCGUAAAAAAAAGAUUGUUAUACAAAUACAUAGAGAUCAUAAAUCUGCCUUUAUAAUGGAAAUGUUAACUUUUUGUUGUUAACUUCUUUUGCUACUUUAUUUGUUCUGUGAACGUUUUGUGCUUCAAUUCCGAUAGAAUUGCAAUUUUAUUCAUUUUUAAAAAAAAAAUAAGAUUUGCUUGUCGAAAUUUGAAGCCAAAUUGAUGUUCUCCUUAAAACCAGCGCAACGAAAUUUAUGUUGCUUCUGUACGUUAAGGGAACUACAAUUGAUGUAUCCAAUUUUAAUUGAAGAGCUCCAUCAAAUGACUGUAUCAAUGGAAGCCGCUCUUAUGUGAUGGGUUCACAGACCCUUCUAAAUAUCAACGAAAACAGAAAAUAUUCCAUCUAAAUUUGUCAUUGAAAUAAAAAAAAGGCAGCCCGGUGAACUAAGUUUCCGCUAUAAUAUAUAUUCAAUGAAGGGUCGGACCACAAUUGUUUAUUGUAUGCGCCUUACCCUGCAUUUACAAGGGGUUGUUUUCAAUUUUUACGGCUUGAACGCGUGACCUCUGGGUCAUUAUUAAAAUAAGAGAAUAAAUAGUAUUCUUUCUUGUCCAUAAUAAAUAAUCUUUUUUACCUUUUUAGUUUGGUUCAAAAUCAGUGUUCUUUUACAUAAUCAAGAAGUAAUUCACUUUAUUUUUUCAAAUUUAUCUUUAUUUAUUUAUCCCUACAAAAUCUUUUAAACUAUUCUGAUUUUUAAUAAUAAUAUUAAAUAAAUUCAACAAUUGAUGUGCACUAACACGUGAGAAGAACUUUCUCAUAUUUUAUCACAUUGUUAGGCUGAAUCCCAUUAAUGUAACUAUAUUUAUGAGACUCACUUGAAGAGUUCAAGGCUGGUAAGUUGAAAAUAAAAAAAAAAUGUUUAGAAACUAAUUAUUAGCACUGGAAGUCGUCGUUUUAAAUUUGUCUCUGCUUGGUUAUUCAUAUCUAUGGAUGGUUAUUCAUAUCUAUGAACAAGCCCUUCCAUUCUAAGUGUUUAUAUACCGAGAUUGCUUCACUACUGGCCGUGGGAAAUUAGCCUAAAGAGUAAAGGCAGACCUAAUUAAAAAUCCCAACAUGCAUAAGUGAAAUGUUGAUUUGGGUCAAAGCAAAAUGAUUCCCUAAUAUGGAAAAGAAGAAUAAUGAGUUGAAAACAUCUCUUGUAUAAUCCUUUACCUUGAGGUAUAUUGAAGGUUAUUUGUUAAAUGUUGAUUAUAGGUUGGCUUGUGUUGUGAACAGAAUGAUGAUCAAGAUUGAAUGUGGUAAAGAGAUUGCUACCAAAGAAGAUGAGAUUGAGAGUAUCUCUGAUUUUCCCAGAAAUAUCUUGUUAAAGAGAUGGAGACAUUUUGGACUAUGCAUUUAACUUAGUGGUAUAUAGACGAUUUUUUGAGGAGAUAAGUGCAAUAUUAUAGUAAUUGAGUAUAGGUUUAGUAAUUGUCAUAGCAAUACAAGGCAAAAUAAUCUUGUCUACGUUAUUCGAUCAUCUGAUAUUGCCACUUAUCUCCUCAAAAAAUUCCCUACUACAACUUGGGUUGUGGAUGCUUAGUCCAAAAAUGUCUCAAUUUCUUUGACGAGAUGUAUGUUGUUGCCAUUUCUUUGACAACACGUCCGUGUUGAUGUUACCUUUGCUUCUUUCCACCUGCAAGGAUGGGUAUAUUCUUUGAUACUAAUCUUUAAAUGUCGUGAAUACUUGGGUAUUGGCAUUAUUGUUGUUUGAUUCAUUAUUCUUAACUUCACCACCAUAGAAAACUAUUGAAAAUUGUGGUUAUUCUGUGACUCUCAAUUUUUUUACUACUUAAUUUGGCAUUACUUUAUGGAAUAUUUUGGUAGUUUAUUAUUUACUUGGGACUUUCAUCCAUUUUCGUGAAGCCAGAGGGGACUAUGUUCGUGUCAAAGCCAUUGCAAUUUAUGUUUUAGAUGGACAGGAAAGGAACACCAUUAUUACAUGAGUCAAUUGCUCAGAGUUGUGUUGUAUAGUAGUGUUUAGGAAGUUAGUAAAGUUAAAUUUGUAUGUCGAGAUGGUGAUGAGAAACUUCUUUUUGAGUUGUAAGAUGCUCCGAUAAUGAAGGAUGGAGGCUCACUAUAUUGUCUAAUUUUUUCCAAUAAGUUAACUCUUUCGAAGGGGAGCCUUGGCGUAACUGGUAAAGUUGUUGUGUGACCAGGAGGUCACGGGUUCAAGUCUUGGAAACAGUCUCUUGCAGAAAUACAAGGUAAUGUUGUGUAUGAUAAACCCUUGUGGUCUGGUCCUUUUCCGAACCCUGUGCAUAGCAGGAGCUUAGUGCACCGGGCUGCCUUAUUUUUAAGUUCACUCUUUCCUGAUGCCAUUUCUUGUGCAUGGCUGUCAAAUUUUGUUCCCAAGCAAAGUAUGGAAGUCUUAGGAUUGAUGAUAUGAUUCUAACUUGUGAUUUUGCUAAAUUAUCGAUAUCGCUGCAUGUACAGGAAGUAAAUACAAUUUGUAUCUAGAUAUAGAAUGCAUCUCUUUGAUAUUUUGGAAAAAGAAAAGAAGACAGAUGUCUACCUUUACAGAUAUUACCCUAGAAGAGUAGCUCAAUGCUUAACUCGUAGUAAGUUUUCAUACUGAGAAUUUGAUACAAACAGAAAAGAAGCAAUGAGUGUCAAAUUACCCAAAGUACCUUCGUCUUUCUAAAAUAAUUUAUUUCAGAUUAUGCACAAGGGACGAUAUGUUGUGAAAAGUCAUAAAGCCAGCAUUGGUACAUUUCUUUUGUCACUUGGUUUAGGAGCCGUGUGCGAUGAAAGUCUCAUGUAUGAGUUUGAAUUAGAUCAAUCUAAAUGAACGUUCAAAACUUG
rnacentral:lncRNA from 1 species